rnacentral:rRNA from 1 species
UACGAAGGGGGCUAGUGUUGUUCGGAAUUACUGGGCGUAAAGGGCGCGUAGGCGGUACUUCAAGUCAGGCGUGAAAGCCCCGGGCUCAACCUGGGAACCGCGCUUGAGACUGGAGAACUAGAGUUCGGGAGAGGAUGGUGGAAUUCCCAGUGUAGAGGUGAAAUUCGUAGAUAUUGGGAAGAACACCGAUGGCGAAGGCAGCCAUCUGGACCGACACUGACGCUGAGGCGCGAAAGCGUGGGGAGCAAACAGG